ACAGUGCUGUCACCCAUAAAGUAGAAAGCACUACUAAACUAUUCUACACAGUGUAGUGUUUCCUACUUUAUGGAUGAGUGCACUGU
ensembl:miRNA mir142 microRNA mir-142